GGUAGUCCACGCCGUAAACGAUGAGUGCUAAGUGUUAGGGGGUUUCCGCCCCUUAGUGCUGCAGCUAACGCAUUAAGCACUCCGCCUGGGGAGUACGGUCGCAAGACUGAAACUCAAAGGAAUUGACGGGGGCCCGCACAAGCGGUGGAGCAUGUGGUUUAACUCGAAGCAACGCGAAGAACCUUACCAGGUCUUGACAUCCUCUGACAAUCCUAGAGAUAGGACGUCCCCUUCGGGGGCAGAGUGACAGGUGGUGCAUGGUUGUCGUCAGCUCGUGUCGUGAGAUGUUGGGUUAAGUCCCGCAACGAGCGCAACCCUUGAUCUUAGUUGCCAGCAUUCAGUUGGGCACUCUAAGGUGACUGCCGGUGACAAACCGGAGGAAGGUGGGGAUGACGUCAAAUCAUCAUGCCCCUUAUGACCUGGGCUACACACGUGCUACAAUGGACAGAACAAAGGGCAGCGAAACCGCGAGGUUAAGCCAAUCACACAAAUCUGUUCUCAGUUCGGAUCGCAGUCUGCAACUCGACUGCGUGAAGCUGGAAUCGCUAGUAAUCGCGGAUCAGCAUGCCGCGGUGAAUACGUUCCCGGGCCUUGUACACACCGCCCGUCACACCACGAGAGUUUGUAACACCCGAAGUCGGUGAGGUAACCUUUAUGGAGCCAGCCGCCGAAGGUGGGACAGAUGAUUGGGGUGAAGUCGUAACAAGGUAACC
rnacentral:rRNA from 1 species